rnacentral:tRNA from 1 species
AAUAAGAUGCCUGAUUAAAGGACUAUUUUGAUAGAAUAGAUAAUGUAAAUAUUUACUCUUAUUA